rnacentral:rRNA from 1 species
UACGAAGGUGGCAAGCGUUGUUCGGAUUCACUGGCGUACAGGGUGUGUAGGCGGUUUGGUAAGCCUUCUGUUAAAGCUUCGGGCCCAACCCGGAAAGCGCAGAGGGUACUGCCAGGCUAGAGGGUGGGAGAGGAGCGCGGAAUUCCCGGUGUAGCGGUGAAAAUGCGUAGAGAUCGGGAGAAGGCCGGUGGCGAAGGCGGCGCUCUGGAACAUACCUGAUGACUGAGACACGAAAG